rnacentral:rRNA from 1 species
UUGAACGCUGGCGGCAUGCCUUACACAUGCAAGUCGAACGGUAACAGGUCCUCGGAUGCUGACGAGUGGCGAACGGGUGAGUAAUACAUCGGAACGUGCCCGAUCGUGGGGGAUAACGGAGCGAAAGCUUUGCUAAUACCGCAUACGAUCUACGGAUGAAAGCAGGGGACCGCAAGGCCUUGCGCGGACGGAGCGGCCGAUGGCAGAUUAGGUAGUUGGUGGGAUAAAAGCUUACCAAGCCGACGAUCUGUAGCUGGUCUGAGAGGACGACCAGCCACACUGGGACUGAGACACGGCCCAGACUCCUACGGGAGGCAGCAGUGGGGAAUUUUGGACAAUGGGCGAAAGCCUGAUCCAGCCAUGCCGCGUGCAGGAUGAAGGCCUUCGGGUUGUAAACUGCUUUUGUACGGAACGAAAAGACUCCUUCUAAUACAGGGGGUCCAUGACGGUACCGUAAGAAUAAGCACCGGCUAACUACGU